ACCCAGGACACAUGGCGCGCUAUUAAAGAUGGCGGAUAUGGCAAAACGAAGAUUUAUCUGAAAUAAUGAGCUUAAUGGGCAAAGAUUACAGAAGAAUCUCGGGUUUAGCGAAGCCUCUUGUGGAAUGCAAAACAGAGGCCCUUCUUUAUGGAAGCUGUGUGUCCCAGAAAGACAACAUUACCAAGCAUGCCUGUGAUAAGGAGUUUCAAGCACUUAAAGCCUGCAUAAGACAAGCAGCAAAGAAAAUUAAAGUGUAGAGACUUGAAAAGAGAGAACAACUGCACCUAUUGCAGGAAAGUUCUGAAACAGGACGUCACAGGCAACCUACUCACUUUUUGCGUGGGGUAACAAUAUUAUAAGAGGAGACAUUUAGGCUUGUGAAAACUGAUAAAAAGAAUGUCUCUGUCGGUAAAUAUAUAAAUACGGUAAACUGCUGCUUAUAAGUGCCCUCUCCUCCCCCCUCCCCCCCUCCCCCUUCCAUUUAUAAGUCCUCGGUUAAAGGCUCAUCUAACUUUAAACAAAACAAAAAAAAAAGCAUCAAAUUAUAAGCUCCCCCCGAUAUAAGCCCUGUUCUAGCUUUUCUUGUUUCUACAAUACCAAAGUAGGAGAAGCCUCAGUGCUGUGACUUGGACAUAGAAAUUUUAAUGAUAGAAGAGCAAAGAUGAACUUUUGAGAGAAAAGUCUGUUUUCUCAGUUUUCCUACGUACCAGUUUUCUUCA